GAUGAACGCUGGCGGCGUGCCUAAUACAUGCAAGUCGAGCGAACGGACGAGAAGCUUGCUUCUCUGAUGUUAGCGGCGGACGGGUGAGUACCACGUGGUUAACCUACCUAUAAGACUGGGAUAACUUCGGGAAACCGGAGCUAAUACCGGACAAUAUUUUGACCCGCAUGGUUCAAAAGUGAAAGACGGUCUUCCUUAUACUUAUAGCUGAAACCGCGCUGCAUUAGCUAGUUGGUAAGGUAACGGCUAACCAAGGCAUCACUGCAUAGCCGACCUGACAUGGUGAUCGGCAACACUGGAACGGAGACACGGUCCAGACUCCUACGGGAGGCAGCAGUAGGGAAUCUUCCGCAAUGGGCGAAAGCCUGACGGAGCAACGCCGCGUGAGUGAUGAAGGUCGUCGGAUCGUAAAACUCUGUUAUUAGGGAAGAACAUAUGUGUAAGUAACUGUGCUCAUCUUGACGGUACCUAAUCAGAAAGCCACGGCUAACUACGUG
rnacentral:rRNA from 1 species